AUCAAUUUUGAAGACAUGUUUUGCUGAAAAGACAACUGAGAAAAAUUUUACGAAUGGGAUGAACACGCUCCAGUUAAUUGACUACCUUCUGCAAUUUGAAUGUUGACAUUACCCACCUGGUACAGUUACCUAGUGAUGUGCCUAUUUUCACAAUGCCCUAUUUCAGUGUGCUUGUCUCGAUUAAAGAAUUCAAAGUGGAGUACCGCAAACUUGAUAUGGAUAAUAAAAAGAAAGACAAGGACAAAUCAGAUGAUAGAAUGGCACGGCCUAGUGGUCGAUCGGGGCAUAAUACUCGAGGAACUGGAUCUUCAUCAUCUGGAGUUUUAAUGGUUGGACCUAACUUUAGAGUUGGAAAAAAAAUUGGGUGUGGCAAUUUUGGAGAAUUAGGAUUAGGGAAAAAUUUAUACACAAAUGAAUAUGUGGCAAUUAAACUGGAGCCCAUGAAAUCCAGAGCACCACAGCUACAUUUGGAAUACAGAUUCUGCAAGCAGUUAGGAUCUGGAGAUGGUAUACCUCAAGUUUACUAUUUUGGCCCUUGUGGUAAAUACAACGCUAUGGUGCUGGAACUGCUGGGACCUAGUUUGGAAGACUUGUUUGACUUAUGUGACAGAACAUUUUCUCUUAAAACAGUUCUAAUGAUAGCUAUACAGCUGAUUUCUCGCAUGGAAUAUGUUCAUUCAAAGAACUUGAUAUACAGGGAUGUAAAACCUGAGAACUUCUUAAUAGGACGACCAGGAAACAAAACCCAGCAAGUUAUUCAUAUUAUAGAUUUUGGUUUGGCAAAGGAAUAUAUUGAUCCGGAGACAAAGAAACACAUACCAUAUAGAGAACACAAGAGCCUUACAGGAACAGCUAGAUAUAUGAGCAUAAACACACAUUUAGGAAAAGAGCAAAGUAGAAGAGAUGAUUUAGAAGCUUUAGGUCAUAUGUUCAUGUAUUUUCUGAGAGGCAGUCUUCCUUGGCAAGGCUUAAAGGCUGACACAUUAAAUUAAAAGAGAGAUAUCAGAAAAUUGGAGAUACAAAACGAGCUACACCGAUAGAAGUGUUAUGUGAAAAUUUUCCAGAAGAAAUGGCAACAUAUCUUCGUUAUGUAAGAAGGCUAGAUUUUUUUGAAAAGCCAGACUAUGACUACCUAAGAAAGCUUUUUACUGACUUGUUUGAUCGAAAAGGAUAUAUGUUUGAUUAUGAGUAUGACUGGAUUGGUAAACAGUUGUCUACUCCAGUGGGUGCAGUUCAGCAAGAUCCUGCUCUGUCAUCAAACAGAGAAGCACAUCAACACAGAGAUAAAAUGCAACAAUCCAAAAACCAGUCGGCAGACCACAGGGCAGCUUGGGACUCCCAGCAGGCAAAUCCCCACCAUUUGAGAGCUCACCUUGCAGCAGACAGACAUGGUGGCUCGGUACAGGUUGUAAGUUCUACAAAUGGAGAGUUAAACACAGAUGACCCUACUGCAGGACGUUCAAAUGCGCCCAUCACAGCCCCUACUGAAGUAGAAGUGAUGGAUGAAACCAAGUGCUGCUGUUUUUUCAAACAAAGGAAAAGGAAAACCAUACAGCGCCACAAAUGACUCUGGACACAGACAGAUAAUAGGGAGUUGCUUACGCGUUCAUCUGCUGUCUUGUGAUUAAAUCAUCUCUGUAGUGACCACGUAUAUUUUCAAGGGCUCACUCUUAGAAACAAAAAUGUCAUCCUUUCAUACUUCAUUUUGUGGUUGUCUUACAUUCAUAUUUUUUUUCUAAUUUAACUUUUAUGGAAGCUUUAAAGUUUUGUCAAAACAUGAGUACUUUGCCCAUCGAUGAAUGGAAUGGACCAGUGAGGUGGUAUUGAUGAAUGCAGUUCUAUAGAACAUUUUUUAGAAGCUCUUCUCCUAUUGUAAAAAGCAGUACAGUAUCUUAAAUGUCAACCAGUUAUAUGCCUAAUUUGGUUUUCUAUAACUUCUGUAAGAGCAUAAUCGAACAGGAAUUUUUCCCCCAGUGGGUAAUGCCACAGAGAAAACGCGUUGCCAAAUGUUUAAAAGAGAAAGUUCAUAUUUUGUGACAUCUGCAUUGAUUUCAGUAUUAAUGAUGGUACUGUUAUUCAUGAAUCAUAUUAACAUUCUCUCUGUGAAAUCAUGGUACAGUCACCGCCCAGAGGUACUGAGGAAAAAGCUCUGUGGGUUUGGCAGAUGGUAGUGGUAAAAUGAAUUGUAAGUAGUGCGGUAAAUAUGAGCUCUGCUUUUGUUGCACCACUAUGUGAAGUACCGUGUUGCAGAAUUGGCAAAAGUGCUUAUUUUUAAAAAUGCAAAAUAUUUGUAUAAUGUAACUUUAUGCUUCCAGAUAAUAAUGUAUGUUAGACAGCAAGAAAUGAAUACUUUAAGAAAUGAUAUAUGUUGGAGUUUUAAAGAAAUACACUAAGGAGAAGAAAUAAAUGUGAACCUCGUUGCAAUGUAUAAGGUUGAAGCCUAAGGAGAUCC